GAUGAACGCUAGCUACAGGCUUAACGCAUGCAAGUCGAGGGGCAGCAUGGUCUUAGCUUGCUAAGGCCGAUGGCGACCGGCGCACGGGUGAGUAACACGUAUCCAACCUGCCGUCUACUCUUGGACCGCCUUCUGAAAGGAAGAUUAAUACAAGAUAGCAUCAUGAGUCCGCAUGUUCACAUGAUUAAAGGUAUUCCGGUAGACGAUGGGGAUGCGUUCCAUUAGAUAGUAGGCGGGGUAACGGCCCACCUAGUCUUCGAUGGAUAGGGGUUCUGAGAGGAAGGUCCCCCACAUUGGAACUGAGACACGGUCCAAACUCCUACGGGAGGCAGCAGUGAGGAAUAUUGGUCAAUGGGCGAGAGCCUGAACCAGCCAAGUAGCGUGAAGGAUGACUGCCCUAUGGGUUGUAAACUUCUUUUAUAAAGGAAUAAAGUCGGGUAUGGAUACCCGUUUGCAUGUACUUUAUGAAUAAGGAUCGGCUAACUCCGUGCCAGCCGCCGCCGUAA
rnacentral:rRNA from 1 species